rnacentral:rRNA from 1 species
AUACGUAGGGGGCGAGCGUUGUCCGGAAUGAUUGGGCGUAAAGGGCGCGUAGGCGGCUUUGCAAGUCAGUAGUGGAAGUCCAUUUUUCAAGGAUGGAAGUGCUACAGAAACUGCGGAGCUUGAGUGCAGGAGAGGUUAUCGGAAUUCCCGGUGUAGCGGUGAAAUGCGUAGAGAUCGGGAGGAACACCAGUGGCGAAGGCGGGUAACUGGACUGCAACUGACGCUGAGGCGCGAAAGUGUGGGGAGCAAACAGGAUUAGAUACCCUGGUAGUCCACACUGUAAACGAUGAAUGCUAGGUGUAGGAGGUAUCGACCCCUUCUGUGCCGCAGUAAACACAGUAAGCAUUCCGCCUGGGGAGUACGGUCGCGAGAUUAAAACUCAAAUGAAUUGACGGGG